rnacentral:rRNA from 1 species
CCAGACACACGUAGGGCAGCGUUGUCGGAAUACUGGGUGAAAGGGAGCGCAGGCGGGACCCCUUGUUGGAAGUGAAAACCAUGGGGCUCAACCCAUGAAUUGCUUUAAAACUGUUUUUCUUGAGUAGUGCAGAGGUAGAUGGAAUUCCCGGUGUAGCGGUGGAAUGCGUAGAUAUCGGGAGGAACACCAGUGGCGAAGGCGGUCUACUGGGCACCAACUGACGCUGAGGCUCGAAAGCAUGGGUAGCAAACAGGAUUAGAUACCCUGGUAGUCCAUGCCGUAAACGAUGAUUACUAGGUGUUGGGGGAUUGACCCCCUCAGUGCCGCAGUUAACACAAUAAGUAAUCCACCUGGGGAGUACGACCGCAAGGUUGAAACUCAAAGGAAUUGACGGGGGCCCGCACAAGCAGUGGAGUAUGUGGUUUAAUUCGAAGCAACGCGAAGAACCUUACCAGGUCUUGACAUCCGAUGCAUAGCACAGAGAUGUGUGAAAUCCUUCGGGACAUCGAGACAGGUGGUGCAUGGUUGUCGUCAGCUCGUGUCGUGAGAUGUUGGGUUAAGUCCCGCAACGAGCGCAACCCUUAUUGCCAGUUACUACGUUAAGAGGACUCUGGCGAGACUGCCGUUGACAAAACGGAGGAAGGUGGGGAUGACGUCAAAUCAUCAUGCCCUUUAUGACCUGGGCUACACACGUACUACAAUGGCGUUAAACAAAGAGAAGCAAGACCGCGAGGUGGAGCAAAACUCAAAAACAACGUCUCAGUUCAGAUUGCAGGCUGCAACUCGCCUGCAUGAAGUCGGAAUUGCUAGUAAUCGCGGAUCAGCAUGCCGCGGUGAAUACGUUCCCGGGCCUUGUACACACCGCCCGUCACACCAUGAGAGCCGGGGGGACCCGAAGUCGAUAGUCUAACCGCAAGGAGGACAAGGCCGAAGGUAAAACUGGUGAUUGGGGUGAAGUCCUUUACGGGUAGCCGU